rnacentral:rRNA from 1 species
AAUAGAUACCCGGGUAGUCCACGCCGUAAACGAUGAAUACUAGGUGUGGGGGGUUUCAACACCUCCGUGCCGCCGCUAACGCAUUAAGUAUUCCGCCUGGGGAGUACGGUCGCAAGAUUAAAACUCAAAGGAAUUGACGGGGACCCGCACAAGUAGCGGAGCAUGUGGUUUAAUUCGAAGCAACGCGAAGAACCUUACCUACACUUGACAUCCCUUGCAUUACUCUUAAUCGAGGAAAUCCCUUCGGGGACAAGGUGACAGGUGGUGCAUGGUUGUCGUCAGCUCGUGUCGUGAGAUGUUGGGUUAAGUCCCGCAACGAGCGCAACCCUUAUCGUUAGUUACUACCAUUAAGUUGAGGACUCUAGCGAGACUGCCUGGGUUAACCAGGAGGAAGGUGGGGAUGACGUCAAAUCAUCAUGCCCCUUAUGUGUAGGGCUACACACGUGCUACAAUGGCUGGUACAGAGAGAUGCAAUACCGGCGAGGUGGAAGCCCAAAACUUAAAACCAGUCUCAGUUCGGAUUGUAGGCUGAAACUCGCCUACAUGAAG